CGAUAGCUCAGCCCGGAUAGAGUACUAGCCUUCGAAGCUAAGGGUCGCGGGUUCGAAUCCUGCUCGG
rnacentral:tRNA from 1 species